rnacentral:rRNA from 1 species
UACGUAGGUGGCAAGCGUUGUCCGGAUUUACUGGGCGUAAAGAGCGCGCAGGCGGUCGUCCAAGUCGCGUGUGAAAGCCCCUGGCUCAACUGGGGAGGGUCACGCGAUACUGAUCGACUCGAAGGCAGGAGAGGGUAGUGGAAUUCCCGGUGUAGUGGUGAAAUGCGUAGAUAUCGGGAGGAACACCAGUGGCGAAGGCGACUACCUGGCCUGUUCUUGACGCUGAGGCGCGAAAGCUAGGGGAGCAAACGGG